rnacentral:lncRNA from 1 species
UCUAUUUCUCUCGGGAAAGAAACAGAAGUUUCGAGUACCCCUCCUAAAGAUCAAAGUCGCUACACACGGUGGGAAUCUCUCGGUCUCUCUCCCGACGCGCGAGGCGGUUUCCAGGCGGGCUGCCUCCGCUGGUCUCCAUCGCCUCCGGUAAGCCAUCGGGCUCUCGGAGGUGUGCGGGACAGUGUACGACCGCGACGCGGUUGUAGAUAAUGUUGUUUUAGGAUUUUAUUCUGGCACUGGCGGGCAGGCAGGGGCGACAUCAACGCUGUGGGAUAAGGUUCCCCCUGGCUCCUUUCCCGUCUCCGCAGUGCUCCCUCCGGCCGGUGGCACUGCGGGGUUAGGGAGGUUGGCCUCUCUCUUAUCCGGCGAGGUUUGGUCGGUGAUGGGGGUGCACAAUAGUAUAGAAGUUGGGAUUUGUGGAGAGGGAUUCCCAGAUCAGGUCGCCUCGGACGGCCGACAGCUGCGCACUGUUGCGGGCAAAGUGGUUUGAGUUGCGGCUCCACUCCGUCGUAGGUUGCCGCUGGUCAAGGGAUCACUUGGUCUACCCCAGGCCGAUGCACCGGAACCCUCCCUGGUUCCGUCUUUUGGGGCGGGACUUACAUGCGGCUCACAAAGCCAUGGAUCAGCGAUGUUGCUCCUCAUGCCCGUUGUCUUGUGGAUGACGGCUAGCACCGGCGAGUGCAGAGAUCAGCGUGCCUAGGUGAAUAAGGAAGAUGAACUGGGCUGUAAGUUACUUUGUUUUCUCUGUCGGCGUUAUUCCCUUUAGUGUUAUCUCUGCCUCUCUGGUUCUCAACCUCCAACGACAUGCCCUUUUUUGUGCUGGCCAUGGAGGCUAGCAGCGGCAGGACUGCCAUGACUAGGCCGCGCAAUAUUUCUAACAGUGUUGAGCUACUCGUUCCCGACAGCUCCGGUGCCAAGCUGCCAAUAGAAGCUGAGCAGGUAUGUGUGUGAUGGAUCUUUUAAUUUUAAGUUUGCUUCCUGUUCGAUUAGGUGCAUAUUUCGCAAGAUAAUGUUGUUCUAUCAUGUCUCUGAUUUUGAUUUUGAUUUUGAUUUUUCCUGCAGAUUUCAGGAUAUAGAAGGCAGCUUCAGGAAGGGCUCGCUGACGAGGUGAGGCCAUUGCGUCUAUUCUUGUGUUAGUUUGUUUCAAAGAAAUCACACUAAUUUCUCUCAGUAUACUCUGCAGAGAAAUAAGUACUGAAGCAGGCUUCACCGAAGACUGCUGAUCUAGAAUUGUCUGUUGCUGAAAUAAGUCCAGGAGCGGUGGAGCAGGCAGAACAAUUUUCUGUUGAUUUUACUGAAUGGAUUGUCCCUGUAAUUUGACCAAACAUCAUGUCGCCGUGCCACUGAAGUUUUUGCACAGAAUUCUUGUCUUUUUGGGUGGUGCCAAGCUGUCUUUUUAUUGAACAAUGCCACAAUUGCAUAGUUGUAAGUUAUUUAGGAUUGUCUCUAUUGCAUACGACCUGGAGUUACAAGAGGUCCAGUACUAAUUUUGUGUAUGUAUGUACAUGUGCAGUCACCCAUUUUCUAUACACAUGAUUCCAAAGCAUCUUUUACUGUACAUUUUGUUUCUUUGCUCGGUACAAAAUGUAUUGCAAGUGUUGUUCAUUUUUUCCCCUUCUGUAAAUAUACUAGAGACCUUCUAAGGGCUCAGUUUUCUUCCCGUUGUCUGAAUAUACCCAUAUUUAUUUUGUGUGUGCGUAUUU